rnacentral:rRNA from 1 species
UUUGAAAUCUGGCACUUUCAGUGUCCGAGUUGUAAUUUGAAGAAGGUAACUCUGGAGUUGGCCCUUGUCUAUGUUCCUUGGAACAGGACGUCACAGAGGGUGAGAAUCCCGUGCGAUGGGGUGUCCAAUUCUAUGUAGAGUGCUUUCGAAGAGUCGAGUUGUUUGGGAAUGCAGCUCUAAGUGGGUGGUAAAUUCCAUCUAAAGCUAAAUAUUGGCGAGAGACCGAUAGCGAACAAGUACAGUGAUGGAAAGAUGAAAAGAACUUUGAAAAGAGAGUGAAAAAGUACGUGAAAUUGUUGAAAGGGAAGGGCUUGAGAUCAGACUCGGUAUUUUGCGAUCCUAUCCUUCGUGGAGAGGUUUCACUUGCAGCUUACCGGGCCAGCAUCGGUUUGGAUGGUAGGAUAAUGACAUUGGAAUGUGGCUCUUCGGAGUGUUAUAGCCUUUGUUGAUACUGCCUAUCUAGACCGAGGACUGCGUCUUUGACUAGGAU